AGUGAACGCUGGCGGUAGGCCUAACACAUGCAAGUCGAACGGCAGCACAGUAAGAGCUUGCUCUUACGGGUGGCGAGUGGCGGACGGGUGAGGAAUACAUCGGAAUCUACUUUUUCGAGGGGGAUAACGUAGGGAAACUUACGCUAAUACCGCAUACGACCUACGGGUGAAAGCAGGGGAUCUUCGGACCUUGCGCGAUUGAAUGAGCCGAUGUCGGAUUAGCUAGUUGGCGGGGUAAAGGCCCACCAAGGCGACGAUCCGUAGCUGGUCUGAGAGGAUGAUCAGCCACACUGGAACUGAGACACGGUCCAGACUCCUACGGGAGGCAGCAGUGGGGAAUAUUGGGCAAUGGGCGCAAGCCUGAUCCAGCCAUACCGCGUGGGUGAAGAAGGCCUUCGGGUUGUAAAGCCCUUUUGUUGGGAAAGAAAAGCAGCAGGUUAAUACCCCGCUGUUCUGACGGUACCCAAAGAAUAAGCACCGGCUAACUUCGUG
rnacentral:rRNA from 1 species